UUUUGCAAGCCACUGUAAUUAGGGCUGGAUCAGGUGACCCUGAAUCCUCCCUUAGUUAUGCUGCAGUACAUGUAGGCUGCGGGGGGGGGAUUCCCAUGAUGUAUUUAGAAUUUCUUCUUCAGUCACCUUUCUCACUCACUAUGUGUUAACAGACCUCUCUGUAUUCAAACAUACUUGUUAUUAAUUAAAUUAUUUUUUUCUUAAACGGUCCAUUUUCUCAUUUUAACAACUCAUUUAUUUCUAUGUUCUAUUGUGAAGAAAAUGUGGGUUUAUGACAUUUGCACGUCAUUGCAGAGAGUGAUGAAGAAAAUGACUGGGUUAACUGGAUUCAGUUCAGUUCAUUUUUAUUUCAAACGUGUGCCUUCACAAUCAUUACAAAAUAUCAUUCCAUUAUUUGUUUGAAAAGGAGUAGGCAGAAGUAUUCACUUAUUUGUUCCUACCCUCUCAAUGGAUUCCGUUGAUGAGGAUGACUAGGCCAUUAUUACGCAUGGAAGAGUUUAGCAGAAAUGUUCAUGAGGUUGGCGUGAAACCUCUGUCCAAUAAACGUCCAUCUUUACUGUCUCAGAGGUUAGAAUAAGAUUCUCCAUCAACGUCAGGCUUCAGCUCCUCCACAAAGAGAAGACAAGUGUAAAGAGGCGAAUGGGGCAUUAUGAGGAAAAUCCAAGCCCAAGUUCAGGUCUCAGCUCUUUAAUAAGCAGUAAUACCAACAACAGUUACAGCCUCAGAGUCACAAACUGCUUCGCUUUUUGUUUGCCAUCACUGGAUUUCACUAAUUUAGUGAAUUUAUUAGUCUAGUUUUUAGUCCAAUCAUCAUUCUUUAAACUCACAAAAAUCUCCUUUACUGUUUAGUGUUUGUCACAAACAUGCCUGAUCAGCGACGUUUGCACCAGGUAUGACUCUCAUGAGGUAAAUAUUGGAUUAGCUCUUGGACAUUGGCAGUUUCCUGUGUAUCCUUCCCCAAUAAAUCCUGACCAUCAAACAUUUUAUUUCCUACAUUGUUUAAAAGACCGAUUUGUAGUUGGAAAUUUCUUUCUUUAAAGGAAAACAUCAAAAUAAAAACAAGCUGACAUUACUGGAAAAAAUGCAGUGAGGUUCUCAAAAAUUCAGAAUGACUUUUAAUUAUUCUAAUUUUUCUUCUGAUAAAUAUUCUUGACUUACCAGCACUCUUAUGUCUGUUUUUAUGUCUGUCUGACUGAAAGAUUUAUUGUAAAACGGGCUGAUUGAAUUCUGAUAUCUGGCUGAUUUGUUAUACAUCUUAAAAAGCUUUCUGGUGUAUCAGCAUUGUUAACGGAUACAGCUUGUCAGCUCAAUAUAAUACUUUCUAUAGGUUCUCUGUCAUGUGAUGCUGACUUUUUUUUUUCUUUAUGCAGUAGAAAUAGCCAACAUCUGCUGAUUUACUCCUCAACCUCUCUCUUCAUAAAAGGUUGCCUCCGAAGAUGCGGCAAUUGAUCCUGAAAACAUCCUCCCGCUGGCGCCCUCUCCUGGGAGAUAAAACACUAUCCUACAAGCGCUGGAGACAGAGCCAGACACUGGAAACAGCCCCCCAACAGCAUAAAUGUCCCCUCCUCACCUGUCAGUCAUUCAAUAGGCCCACCCUGAGGUAAUACCUGAAACGAGUGAAGAAAGUCAACAGCCUAUUUAUGCAAGAUAAGUCAUAAUUUUAUUGUGUGGGGUGUAUUUUGGUUGGGUCUGAUUGUAAAGGAUGAAUCUAAACAGGCAUGAGUGAAGCUUUGUGAUAAAACACUGUUUGAGAUGAAAGGCGAUAGAUUGCUUUGGAUUUUCAGAUUUCAAGGACUGCCUGCCUGCCUUGCUCUGACUGAACACCACUAAAUUGUAGUGCAUACAGUACAAUAAAGUUUUAAAUGUUUGGAUUGUUAAUCUAAAUAUUACAUUAUGUGUCUGUUUGUUUGACAGUAGACAAAAAGAAGAAAAAUCUUAAUUAAGCUUGCUCUGUUGCACAAUGUAAUGGGCAGUCAGCUGCUGUUAGUGAUACUGAAGAGUAAGAAGCAUAUUAGUAAAUACAUUAAGAGUGAUCUACACAAUGCUCCAAAGUCGCACGUCAGGAGUGUUUCACUUUUUCAGUUUUCAAGCGCUCCAGAGAGGUCACGAGCAUUCUCCCUUUUUAGAUGACAUAACUGAGUGGUUAUGCAUGUCUAACACAAAAAGUCAAAAUUGGACAAAAGGAUAAUCCAUCCAUCCAUUUAUGGACACGUCUGCUGAGAAGAUGAUGUCUUACGAUAUUAUAUGAUACGUGAUUACUCUUAAAUUGAUUUCAAGAAGUGAUUUUUUUUAACUAUAUUUCCUACCUUCCCAAUUACAAAUAUUUACAAACUCAUUUGAAAAAAAAAGUGUCAAUGCUUUGUGAAAUCUAAAUAAAACAGAAUGCAAAUCAGGCAACUCUUAUUUAAAUAGGAAAAUUGAUAGUCUGUCCCAGUAAUAAUGAUUAUGGGCAGAACUUUGUGCUGUCAGAAACUGAAUUUGUAUAAGUUAAAUUCAAAUUUGAAUUGUUCAGAUUGAAUCUGAAUUGUAACUUGAAUAAAUGCUUUUUAGAACUGAAUUUGAAUUAGCCUAAUUUGAAGUUCAAUGUAUUGGUUUGAAAAUUAUCGUCACUAAAGUGAAAUUGAAUUUUAUAUUUUGAAAAUGAAUUCAUUUGCUUUAAAACUUUAUUUUAUCCUUUAAAAAUGUAGCUCUUGAAUAAUUUCAGUUUCACUUCUCACCAUUCAGUUUCAGUUCCUAAGUUCAGUUUUUUGGGAUGUACAUCCAGUUCCGGUUCCAGAGUAAUCGAAUAGAACUACGUUUUAGCGAGGUGUACAGAAGGCAUUGAUUAGAUGCCUGAACCACCUCUGUUAUAAUUUGGCGUGGACAGAGACACCACACAUGAAGACACAGUGGCGG
ensembl:lncRNA